GAAACUGUAAAACUUCUAAAACAUUUGGCUACUGAGGGUCAUAAAGCUAGUUUGUCAAAACUGCAGUUUGUAAAAAGGGAGGUGACAUUUUUAGCUCAUGUCAUCACUAAAAAGAUGAGAAACGUUUUCUGAGAAACGAAAAGAGGCAACUCAAAAGAUUCCAAAGCCUGUCAUGAAAAAGCAACUAAUGUCAUUUUUGGUCACGUGUUCGUUCUGUGGAACAUUUGUUUAUUAUGAUAUCAAAGAAUCACCACUGAGCACUUUGGCUCACGGGAAGGGCUUGCAACCACAUGAAAAACGGACCUGGACCCCAGAAGCAGAGAACUGUUACAAACAUCACCAACUCCCAGACCCAGAGAGAAAUACUGAACAAACUGUUGAUAAGAAAAUGGGUUCAUGACUUUUAUUCUGUUACAGGAUCAUGGGGGAGACCUGUGGCCUAUUUUUUUCAAGUAAGCUUGAUCAGGUAGCGGCAGGCUUGCCAAAAUGACUGAGAGCUGUUGCAUCUGCAGAAAAAAGCUAUUUUAGCUUUAAGGGAAAUUGUGGGGGUCCUCUGAUGUGACUUUACUCAUGCCACACGCUGUUUCUAUGAUCCUGUUGGAACAGAAAACAUCCCAUUCGUCAACUGCCAUAAGGCUCAGGUACACUGCAAUUUAGUUGGAAAUGCCAAACAUUACGAUUAAAAGAUGCACAGUGUUAAAUCCUGCUACACUGCUCCCUAUGAGGCAGGAUGGGGAAAGAACGUGAUUGUGUUGCCACAUUUAAACAGGUCUGUACACCAAGACCAUAUUUAAAAGAAACCCACUUAGAAAAUGUUGACUUAAUUCUGUUCGUUGAUGGUUCAGCAUCUAGAGACCCAAAAACUGGCCAAAACAGAGCAGGUUACGCUGUAACCACUGCAUAUGCAACAAUAACAUCUGGAGCGCUCCCCGCUCUGCACAAGCAGCUGAAUUAGUAGCUUUGACGGAGUCUUGCAAAAUUGCUGAAGGGUAAACAGUUACAAUUUACACAGAUUCUCGUUACUCUUUUGGGGUUUGUCAUGAUUUUGGGGCAUUGUGAAAACACAGGAAAUUUCUAAAGUCUGAUGGUAAGCCUGUUCUAAACCAUGAUAAAAUAGCAGCAUUGUUAAAAGCAAUUUUGCUACCAAAGUUAGUUGCUAUCUGCAAAUGUGCUGCACAUUCCAAAGGUGAUGAUUUUGUGUCUUUAGGUAACAAGUGAGUUGAUACCAUGGUGAAGGACACAGCUACAAGAACAGAGCCUUCUUUUACCUGUGUAACAGUAAACAAUGACUCAUUCACACUCCCUUCUGAUUAUCUUACAGCUAUGCAAGAUUUUGCGACAGGAGAGGAGAAUAAACAAUGGGUGAAGGCCAAGUGCAAACUGAAAAACAACCUUUGGCUGAGUACUGAAGACAAACCAUGCCUGCCAAAAACACUUUUUCCCACACUAUGCAAAACUUGUACAUGGCCUAGAUCACCAGGUCAAGGACGCUCUGCCCAUGCCAGCUGAAGGAGUCUUGCAUGAUAUCAGGCCUGGCGAUUUCGUGGUAAUCAAGGACUUGAGGUGGAAACACUGGAAAUCUAAGAGGUGGAACGGUCCGUUCCAGGUCCUGCUGAUAACAUACUGCAGUAAAAGUGGCAGAGAGAGCUACGUGGGUGCACACAAGUCACU